rnacentral:rRNA from 1 species
AGCGGACGCUGGCGGCAGGCUUAACACAUGCAAGUCGAACGGUCCUUCGGGAUAGUGGCGGACGGGUGAGUAACACGUGGGAACGUACCCUUAGGUUCGGAACAACACAGGGAAACUUGUGCUAAUACCGGAUAAGCCCUUCGGGGGAAAGAUUUAUCGCCUUUGGAGCGGCCCGCGGCUGAUUAGCUUGUUGGUGAGGUAAUGGCUCACCAAGGCUACGAUCAGUAGCUGGUCUGUGAGGAUGGCCAGCCACACUGGGACUGAGACACGGCCCAGCCUCCUACGGGAGGCAGCAGUGGGGAAUUGUGCGCAAUGGGCGAAAGCCUGACGCAGCCAUGCCGCGUGGAUGAUGAAGGUCUUAGGAUUGUAAAAUCCUUUCACCGGGGACGAUAAUGACGGUACCCGGAGAAGAAGCCCCGGCUAACUUCGUGCCAGCCGCCGCCGUAA